GGCAGGGUAUAAAGCACCUGCCCCCCACCUCCCACCCAGCAUACAAGUGCUUUAGAUAUCCAGAGUGUCUGUGACUUGUCCACAAUUGCAGCCCGAGCUAGCAAAAGCAGCAUGGGAACCCAGGCCUUCAAACCCCAAACCCAAAGGUAUUAGCAUUAAGCAAUGGCUCUUCCUGAAGCUACAAGAGCUAAAGGGCAGGUGUCACCUCUGGCUCCUUAGUCAGUUCAUCGGCGAGGCGGAACUACUCCCUACCCAUGAGUAACGGCAGGAGCAGCCGCCACCACAGCCGCCACUCAGAACUAGCCACCGUGCCUGGCACUUCACAAGCCUGUGAGGUGGGCUAUGUUUCUUCACUCGCCAGAGAGAAUAUGAGGGCUCACAAAAUGAACUGCUUAUUCAGGGUUAUGCUGAGAUGAAGAAACCGGGAACAGCUGGACAACAGGAGACGCGAGACUAAAAACCAGGUUUUCUGCCUCAAGAUUUGUAUCUCACACUGACCCCAGAAUCUCUUUGUAGUAUCAAUUCUCUUAUUUAAUCCUCUCUUUUUAAUCACCAAAGGAGAGGUUCUGGACCAGCUCUAAGAAACAGAUUACAAAUUCUAACAUAAGAAGAGUUCAAAUAAAUGGAGUUCUCUUGGAAACAGAAAACGGGUUCAAAAUUUUAAAAGAUCGCUCUCAAGGCCUUAGCCCUUUAAGGUGUUUGCUAAGUGCCAACUCUACUGCAGACCACACUGGCUUCAUGAAUGAGGCACUGAAACUCAAUAGCAAAAUCUGUUUACUAAAAAGAUAAAAAAGAAGUUAGAUAAUGAAAGAGACUUAUUCAAAUAGGGACUAUGAAAACAUUAUGUCUAAGCUCAGAAACACCAACUUUUAAAAUAAACACUCUAAAUCGGUGUCCAAA